rnacentral:rRNA from 1 species
UACGGGGGGCGCAAGCGUUGUCCGGAAUUAUUGGGCGUAAAGAGCUCGUAGGCGGUCUGUUGCGUCUGCCGUGAAAACCCGAGGCUUAACCUCGGGCCUGCGGUGGAUACGGGCAGACUAGAGGUAGGUAGGGGAGACUGGAAUUCCUGGUGUAGCGGUGAAAUGCGCAGAUAUCAGGAGGAACACCGGUGGCGAAGGCGGGUCUCUGGGCCGAUACUGACGCUGAGGAGCGAAAGCGUGGGGAGCGAACAGG